AGUGAACGCUGGCGGUAGGCCUAACACAUGCAAGUCGAACGGCAGCACAGUAAGAUCUUGCUCUUACGGGUGGCGAGUGGCGGACGGGUGAGGCAUAGAUCGGAAUCUACUUUUUCGUGGGGGAUAUCGUAGGGAAACUUACGCUAAUACCGCAUACGACGUACGGGUGAAAGCAGGGGAUCUUCGCACCUUUCGCGUUUGAAUGAGCCGAUGUCGGAUUAGCUAGUUGGCGAGGUAACGGCACACCAAGGCAACGAUGCGUAGCCGGCCUGAGAGGAUGAUCGGCCACACUGGAACUGAGACACGGUCCAGACUCCUACGGGAGGCAGCAGUAGGGAAUAUUCGGCAAUGGGCGAAAGCCUGACGCAGCAACGCCGCGUGAGUGAUGAAGGUCUUCGGAUCGUAAAACUCUGUUAUUAGGGAAGAACAGAUGUGUAAGUAACUAUGCACGUCCUGACGGUACCUAAUCAGUAAGCCACGGCUAACUACGUG
rnacentral:rRNA from 1 species